rnacentral:rRNA from 1 species
AACAAACGCUGGCGGCGUGCCUAAUACAUGCAAGUCGAACGGGGAAAGUUCUUCGGAAUGAGUACUAGUGGCGUACGGGUGAGCAACACGUGGAUAAUCUUCCUUCAGGUGGGGAAUAACGAGUCGAAAGAUUCGCUAAUACCGCAUAAGACCACAGUAACUUUGGUUACAGGGGUUAAAGACUUCGGUCGCCUUUAGAUGAGUCUGCGUCCGAUUAGCUAGUUGGUGAGGUAAUGGCUCACCAAGGCGACGAUCGGUAACUGGUCUGAGAGGACGGCCAGUCACACUGGGACUGAGACACGGCCCAGACUCCUACGGGAGGCAGCAGUAGGGAAUUUUGCACAAUGGAGGAAACUCUGAUGCAGCGACGCCGCGUGAGUGAUGAAGGCCUUCGGGUCGUAAAGCUCUGUUCUCAGGGAAUAAAAAAUGAAGGUACCUGAGGAGAAGGACCGGCUAACUUCGUGCCAGCAGCCGCGGUAAU